rnacentral:rRNA from 1 species
UGGGUAAUCUACCCUUCAGUGGGGAAUAACGUUUCGAAAGGAACGCUAAUACCGCAUAUUGAUACAGAUUGUUGGAUUUGUAUCUAAAGGUGGCUCUCGUAAGAGGCUAUCGCUGAUAGACGAGCCUGCGUCCCAUUAGCUAGUUGGUGAGGUAACGGCUCACAAAGGCGACGAUGGGUAGCUGGUCUGAGAGGACCGACCAGCCACACUGGAACUGACACGACCGGUNACGUACCG